rnacentral:lncRNA from 1 species
CUCUUCUAACACAGUUAAGUACAUGAUCAAUGGUCUUCCUUCCACUGUAGGAGACAAGAUAGAAGGUUCAAGCAGAUACUCCUUGAUGUUGUCAAAAGCUUUAUGGCAUUCUUCUGUCUAAACACAACCUUGAUCUUUACGGAGAAGCUUGAAGAUUGGCCCACAUGUGGCAAUCAUGUGAUAUAUAAACCUGGAGAUGU